rnacentral:rRNA from 1 species
AACGAACGCUGGCGGCAUGCCUAACACAUGCAAGUCGAACGAGACCUUCGGGUCUAGUGGCGCACGGGUGCGUAACGCGUGGGAACCUGCCCUUAGGUUCGGAAUAACUCCCCGAAAGGGGUGCUAAUACCGGAUAAUGUCUUCGGACCAAAGAUUUAUCGCCUUUGGAUGGGCCCGCGUUGGAUUAGCUAGUUGGUAGGGUAAAAGCCUACCAAGGCGACGAUCCAUAGCUGGUCUGAGAGGAUGAUCAGCCACACUGGGACUGAGACACGGCCCAGACUCCUCCGGGAGGCAGCAGUGGGGAAUAUUGGACAAUGGGCGAAAGCCUGAUCCAGCAAUGCCGCGUGAGUGAUGAAGGCCUUAGGGUUGUAAAGCUCUUUUACCCGGGAUGAUAAUGACAGUACCGGGAGAAUAGGCUCCGGCUAACUCCGUG